UACUCGAGUGGCGAACGGGUGAGUAACACGUGGGUGAUCUGCCUUGCACUCUGGGAUAAGCUUGGGAAACUGGGUCUAAUACCGGAUAGGAACCGUCUUUAGUGUGGUGGUUGGAAAGUUUUUUCGGUGCAAGAUGAGCUCGCGGCCUAUCAGCUUGUUUGUUGGGUAAUGGCCUACCAAGGCGUCGACGGGUAGCCGGCCUGAGAGGGUGUACGGCCACAUUGGGACUGAGAUACGGCCCAG
rnacentral:rRNA from 1 species